UUCGCUAUGAUGAGGUAAAAACACUUAAAAGUGUUGAUGGGCAGUGGAUUUGGAUCUUUCAAUUUUUGAAGAUCUGCCGUGAGCCCUCUUUUUAAGCGACUUCUCCUUCCACUGAGCUCU
rnacentral:snoRNA from 1 species